GCCCCCGUAGCUCAGGGGAUAGAGCGUCGGUUUCCUAAACCGUGCGUCGCAGGUUCGAGUCCUGCCGGGGGCA
rnacentral:tRNA from 1 species